AACGAACGCUGGCGGCAUGCCUAACACAUGCAAGUCGAACGAGACCUUCGGGUCUAGUGGCGCACGGGUGCGUAACGCGUGGGAACCUGCCCUUAGGUUCGGAAUAACUCCCCGAAAGGGGUGCUAAUACCGGAUAAUGUCUUCGGACCAAAGAUUUAUCGCCUUUGGAUGGGCCCGCGUUGGAUUAGCUAGUUGGUAGGGUAAAAGCCUACCAAGGCGACGAUCCAUAGCUGGUCUGAGAGGAUGAUCAGCCACACUGGGACUGAGACACGGCCCAGACUCCUACGGGAGGCAGCAGUGGGGAAUAUGGGACAAUGGGCGAAAGCCGGAUCCGGCAGUGCCGCGUGAGUGAUGAAGGCCUUAGGGUUGUAAAGCUCUUUUACCCGGGAUGAUAAUGACAGAACCGGGAGAAUAAACUCCGGCGAACUCCUU
rnacentral:rRNA from 1 species